AUGCGGCGUAGUUUGUUUGUGAAGAUUGUCACCGAUUGUGAGGCCGCCUCAUAUUACUUUAAACGUCAUAGAUCCGCCGCCGAUAUCAUGGGGUUUAGUGCAUAUCAAAAGAUAUCGGCGGCAAUGCGGGUACUCGCUUAUGGCAUACCCGCGGAUUAUACCGACGAGUAUCUUCGCAUUGGGCAAGAUACAACCACGGAGUCUGUCCGUAGGUUUGCCAAGUUGGUCAUACGGUUGUAUGGUGCGCAGUAUCUUCGGGCACCAAACGAGGAAGAUACAAAGAGAUUAAUGGAAAUGAAUGAAAAAAGGGGAUGGUCGGGGAUGCUAGGUAGUCUUGAUUGCAUGCAUUGGAGGUGGAAAAAUUGCCCAAAGGCAUGGCACGGAAUGUAUUGCGGUAAAAGCCGUGAUGCUACCAUUGUGCUUGAGGCCGUAGCAUCUCAGGACACAUGGAUUUGGCAUGCAUUUUUUGGGUUGCCGGGAACACUCAAUGAUAUCAAUAUCCUCAAUAGAUCUCCUUUGUUCAAAAGAUUAAUUUCUGGGGAUGCUCCAGCUUGCAACUACAAAAUCAUGGACAAUGAGUACUCAAUGGGAUACUAUCUCACCGAUGGCAUCUAUCCCGAAUGGGCAACUCUAGUGAAGUCCAUCAAGGAGAAAAAUGGGUGCCCUUAA
rnacentral:rRNA from 1 species